UUUUGCAUACAAAAUUUCACUUUGAACAAAAUAUUAAAAUUUCAUUGAAGUGAAAGGUGUUAGUAUGGCCACAACGAAAUUGUGUACAUGCAAAAUGGACAUCUGUGUUGUCUUGUGUACAUGCCGGCCAUUGUUAUGUCGCUGCCUUCUUACAAAUGUUCAAGUAGAAGGAUUCACGACGCCAUUUACAGUUCACUGUCGUGCUGCGAUGGCGUGUCGCUCUCUAUGUGGUCAGCACUUUAGUGUCAGAAGUCGACAUGAAAACAUGCAAUGAUUUUUUUCUCUUAGCUUGCUGUUUUUGUUACAAUUGUGGGACUUUUGGGACGCGUUAGCACGUUUAUGACCUUGUUGUCCGAAGUCUAAAAAAAAGUUUCAUUAUUGCCUAAAAUGCAUGGUGGAAAAGUUUUUCGAUUCGCCAAAGAACAUUUCAAUUGGUCUUCGACAAAAUGGUGCAGCAUUUUAUAACCGGACGAAUCGAAAACUGUUAUGUAAAGUGUCUACAACACUGACACAGGUGGUGCGAAAACUACUGUCAAGGUUUUGUCUAACCCGUAGAGACAUGAUGACCGAGUUGAACUCAACCAUGCCUCUUCGGACCCAAAUAAGUGCGCGGGCAUUUUUAGCCAGCUAUUUACACUGGACACCCAGGUAGACAAAGUCAAACGAUGUGUUACCCGACGGCUGCGCAAAAUGUCAAAAAACUGGGCACCACUUUGGUCUUGAUAGAAUUAAUAUGCUGAUCAUCAUCAUAUAUGUAGAUUCGAUGCGAUUAAGCUUCCUCAUGCACUGACCGCCAUCCACAGUGGAGCCUUCAGUGGAGCGGACACCUUCACCGACGUACUUGGAGUUAGAGAGUGACCUUUGCGCAGCCUGUAGCAGGUUAAACUCCUACUUAUCCAGAAUCGAACCCGACAUAUCAAAUGUAUGUCCAACGUGCAACGAGUUCCUGCAUGGCACUAACCAACUCUUUGCAUGCCCAGCUAACCCUACACAUCUGACACUCCUCUCCCUAUGGUCCGACCCCGUCGAAACAGCACGUUUUCUAGGCUUACCGUUGGAUGACCUCGAUGAAAAUUUAUCUCAACCUUACCAUCUUAAGGGUGACUAGAUAACCGUUACAAGAACAAUAACACAAAGUUGAAAAACGUAAUAUCAAAAAACAAAAUUUUUUUUACGGGUUGAGUUGAAAAUCAUACUACCGAAUUUCAAAACUUCGACCAAAAUGAAGUUGUGUUGAAAACCGUAAUAGGGGCUUAAAUAGGUAUAAAGCCGUUUUGAUUAUUUCCUUAUCAGAAUUAUCAAAGGCAAGAUGUGUCCUUAUUGACAUAUUUUAGUCGUCCCACUAUUAUAUUAUAUAUUCCUCGUAGGAUGCAGUAUAAAUUGGCAAUUGAAAUUACUCGCGCAAAUCUUCGGAUCCGAACAAUGGUUGUAAUAUAGCCAGAAGUUGCAAAAAGUUUAAAUAUUCCAUUACUUAACGUUUGCUUAUGGUGGUUGUCGAGCACAGGUGCUGUAUUGAGCACUGUCGUAGAUGCGCUUGAUGCUAUGGCGUGUCGUUUACUCCCUAUGGAUCUGAAGAUUUGAACAGUUCUUUGAACGAAUUUGCUUUCAUAUCUAACUACAAGUUAUAACGCUGCAGAAUGCUAUUAUUAUUAAUUAAAUAAGUAAUUAUUAACCAAAAAAAAUUCACAUCGUUACUCUCGAUUAAUUUUCCUUUUUAUUUAGAGAUAUGCUUUAGUUUUUCACUUCAUUUAUUUAUUUAUUUGUGUCUUUGCUUUGAAAAAUUUCACAGUUCACAACCUUACAAAUUGAAAAAUGAUGGAUGAUAUAGGACCAAUAUCAAGUGGGAACAAAAUUAAUUAUUGUGCCAUUAUAUGCAAACAUUAUAUAAAAUGGUUUUCAGGAGUUUUUCAUUUGGUUGCAAAUUAAUUUUGUGAUGUCCGAGUCUCAUCCUUAUGAGCACUUGAUUGCUUACAGAAGAGUCUUUAGUACUUUAAAUCAAGAAUGUGUUAUUUUAUAAGGAGUUUAAUUCAAAUAAUAUAAUAUGCGUUUUUCAUAUGCUUGAAAUAAGUUUAAUAA